rnacentral:lncRNA from 1 species
UGGGAGGCGUGGGCGUCAGCAGAUUCAUUCCCGAGGCGCUCGGAGAAGCGGAGCAUCAGAGACGACCGAAGGCCGGCAGUGUUCACGCUGGACGCUGAUCCCAGCAAACGGCUGGAGGAACGCAGCAGGAUCGAGGACUCGGGGCUAAGGCUCAGCUUUGAACGUCUUGACAGCAAAUGUGGGGUGUGAGAGACGGCACUGCUGGGACUUGAUUUGCGUGAAAUAACUCUUACACGUGCUUUGCCAGUUUUUCUAUACUUGUAAAAUGACUUUCUGCUAGAGAGCUCUAGACACUCUCAAAUAAAGCACAACCGUUUUUAAAUAAAGGUUGUCGAGUGGGUUAAUUUACUUGAGCAGUGAAAAUUUACCAAGUGCCCCCUGGGCGCAGGCCGCUGGGCUCAGGACCAUGGAGACAGAAUUUCACCCGACAAACGUUUAUUGAGCGCUGCUCCGGGAGUGGGGCUGUAUCAGUGAGAAAACAAGGAGAGACAAAAAUCCCUACCCUUUCGGAGUUUACAUCUAACGGGGAGAGACGGGCAGGGAAAAGUAAACAGUAAGUACAUCAUGAUGUGUUAGAAUGUGACAAAAUGCUGUUUAAAAUUAUGAGACAGUUAAGGAGACUCACUGAGCAAGUCGUUGAAGAAGACGCAGAUCUACUAUGUGGGGCUCCGGGCAAGAGCAUUCCAGGCAGAGGGGCCGCCAGUGCCAAGGCCCUGGGGCACAGGGCUGCAUCUGAAGAACAACAAAGAGGCCGAGUGUUUUUGGUGACGUGAGAGCGAGUAACGGGGAGAGGGUGAAGAGAAACGGCCGAUGACGUGGGGUCUCGUGGGACCUUCCAGGACUUGGGCUUUUACGUUGACGAGGCAGAGAGCCGCUGGGUCAGGAGCAGAGGAGCGAUCGACUCGUUUUCUAACAGGAUCCCUCAGGGGCAGCACUGAGAACAUGGGCAGAAAGCGGGCGACAAGCGAGGAGCUGACAUGGGAGAGAGGGGUUUCCGAGGGCGGAGGGAGAGCGCGUUGGGGCGGCAUGGGGUGGGGCAGCCCUCCAGCUCCGCCCUGGCGCACGGAGCCUUCCGCGAGGAGCCUGAGGAUGGAGAUCCUGCUGCAGAGGAUGUGGAUCCCGAGGGCUGAGCGCGGGGUCUUGUGAUCCAAGGCGGAGACGGAGCCAGGGAUGCGCGGAGCCUGACGGGGCUUCUUGCGGCCCUGACACAGGGGUAAAGAGGGCGAUGCAAUGAGUCCUGGGGACCCGAGGCGGCCCGGGGUGGCAGAGGCCGGAGGGCAGGGGGCGGUUCCGGCCCUGGGACGUGGCUUUGGCUCGGGUUGGGACGCAGGGAGGCUGGCGAGACGUGGGAUUGGUCCCGCCCCGAGAUCUUCUCUUCAGCCCCGAGGAUGGAAGGCAGGCCGAGGGACCUUCGGUCAAUAGACGUGAUGAAGACAGUGUCCCGCUCAGGAUGCUCGGCCUAUACGGAGAAGAGCGCCCGUGUGACCGCGGCUCAGCGCACAGACCAGCACAGACUUCAGUCCAAGGUCGCUCUGUGCGCGUUAUGGACAACGGUCCGCGAGCCCGCCAGCUCGUGCGCGCUGGGCGGCUGUGACCGGCUCCGCUUUAGCCGGUUCCCGGAGCCCUGACGCCGCGCUCCUUGCCAAGAGGUCCACCGGCCAGCAGCGGCCGCCUCACCUAGACACUCGUUGGAGAUACGGGACUGGCCCGGCCCGGGGCUACUGAAUCAGCGUCCGCACUGAACCAGAUCCCCAUUCGAGCCCUGGGAAUGCGCCUCAUUAUUAGUAGGAACAAAGCAGGUGCUUCCAGGAAGAGAAGCCAAGGUGGAGCUUUGGAACCUGGCGUGUGGUUACACCUACAGCACAGCUCAGUCCAGAGCAGCCACACUCCAAGAGCUCAGUGGACGCCUGGGCUAACGGCUGUGGUGCUGGAUGGUGCAGCUUCGGGCAACAGAGGUGCGCGCUGUGAGAGACAGAUUUCCACUUCUGGAAAACAAAAUGACUGCCCGUUUAAAGUAGAAGAGGUGGUUCAGCAGACCAUGCAGGGAAUCAACCACUAUGAAGGACAAGCAUCUUUUAGGAUUUUGGGAUCUGCGUAGCUGGGUCAGUGCUGGGAUGGGGGACAUGAAAGGACCCAGUGCUGUGGUGGGUGCUCCUGGCCCAAUCCUCUUUCUCAGAAGCGUCACUCACCAAUCUUCUCCCAAACUGGCUGGACUUCCUUCCCAAAGCUGAGGAUGGUUUGAAACAAGCCAACAAUGAGCGGGACAAGAUUUAUCCUUGGGCCAUUCACCCACUCCAUCCUGUGCACCCUCCCCUCACCAGACACAGCCCUUCUCUUUGGCCCAGGAGGGCACCUGCUGUCAAAAGCCUUCUCAUCAAAGCGUCAUGCCCUCUUCCACAAGGAGUGACUGUCUACACGAGGACGCAGGUGACACAGAGUCCUUGUUCUCCAUGGCUCUUGUGAAAAGGGACUAAUGCACAGCCAGAAGAACGUCAAGCACAGCUGGGCAGGGGGAGAGAUGGGGAGAAAGUUGGAACGACUGGGCCCGAGAUGGUACCGUGCAGGCAGCAGCACCCCCCUAGAACAGAGUGAGGGGUGAGGGUGGAGCACCCUCCAGGGGUCAAGAUGGGCCGGCAGCAAUGACAGGCUGCCCCUGGGCACUUGCGGCUUCUGUUGUGUGGCCAAAGUAUCAGGCUUACCAUCCUCAGAGAAUAAGGUCAUUUUACUUCUUUAAAAAUGUAGAAUUUAAAUAAUUUUACCAAAAUUAGGUUUAAAGAUGAUUCGUAUGAGUAAGUUCUUAAAUCAAAGCCUGAGGAAGAACUGCUCCCUGCCUCCUACUGUCACACGGCUCUCAUCACGCAGGCGACCCUGUUUACAGCCCAACGUCAUGGCUGCAAUCUUCUGGCUCACACCGAGGUCUUGUUUGGGAACCAUGCUCUUUUAUUAGGGCAGAGGGAACAUUUAAAGGGGUUUUCACAGUUUCUCUGGGCCAACAGUACUCUAACUUUCUGUUUUCCUUUUCUACUGUUACAUGGAAGGAAGGAGCCCCUCUCUGUGUUAAAAUGUGGGGAUUAUUUUGUAAAUUUGACUAUGAAGAAGAGUUAUUUACUCUUUUUAAAAAGUGAUUUACUUUUUUUUUUAAAAGAUAAAGUAGUCUUAGCUGAUAUCUGCAAGGUGUUAUAAGGACUUUUUGGGUCAAAUUACUCUAAAGUCACCCAUUAAGAGAAAUCUGACACAUAUGAGACAAAAUGUGUGUGACUUAAUCUGUCUGGAACCCUACAGUGGUCCCCUUUGCUGAAAGACGAGGUAUAAAUGCUGUCUAAUGUGGAUAAGUGUAGGACACACAUAGUGAGCUAAGUUGAUGCUGACAGGUAAAGUGAAGACACGAAGAAAUCUUAACGUUUGACUCAGGAGCUUGCACUUAAUUUGGUAGGUAGUAGGGAGCUGUUGAAGGUUUUAGAGUAAAGAGAACGGUAAUCUCAGGGUGGUGCUUUAGCUGCAGGAGAAAUGGAGGGAGGAAGAAAGCUCAAAAGUUUGUUGGGGCAGGGCCUACAGGACCACAGCAGAUCAAAUGUGGAGACUAAGGAAGAAAGAGGAGUGAAAGAUGACUCAGAUUUUGAGCUAAGAAGGAUGACAGCUGCCUGAAAGGACAGAGGCCGGAAGUUGUUGGGGGAAAAUAUAAUUAACUUGACCUUGAACAUGCAGAGUUCGAGGAUCAAAUGAAAAAAUGGAUUGAAGCACUUCCAGGAGUGUACGGCACUGUUCUCACAUAAUAAAAUAAUAAUAAUACCAUUCGUUAAACAUGGAGCAAGUAUCUUAUAUGGACUCUCCCAGAUACAGGCUGAGCCCCAUCGUCAUGAAAACGAUCUUUAAGUCCAGGAGAAGAACCUCUGGGCAGAGGGGCCUGGGUCCUGGACUUAUGUGUCAGUUGGGGCCAAUGGGAGGAAGCAGUGAGAAAGUCGCACAGGACCCACAGGGAGUGAGGUGGCUGGAGGCCACUCUAGGCAGCUCGGCGGCCUGGAGACGAUGACUUUGAGGAAGAAGAGCACGGACUUUCCAGUAGGAUUGGCUGAGUUCAAAUUCAGAUUCUGCAAUUGAACAAGCUGGGUUAUUCUGGGCAACUUAACCUUCGGGUGCUCAGUUUCCCCGUCUGAAAUUGGGGCUAUGCCAAGUAUCUGCUCUUAACGGUUGUUGUGAGGACUAAGUGAGAUUAUGCUGAAAAGCGCUAAGAACAGCGCCUGGAAUACGGCAACGACUCAAAACCAUUAAUGAUGCCAAGUGCUAAUGGGGUGAAAAAUGGAAAUUAAGAAAAGAAACCUAAUUACACGGGAGUCGGGAAGGCCUGUAGGGGGAGCUCUCAUGCCCCAUCAUUGCUUGCAUCUCAGACAGGAAGCGCAACUGCUUUAUUACUGAAGGAAGAUUUCUCUCCCCACCCAGCAG